GGCUGUAGUUCAGUGGUUGAGUGCUUGCCUUGCAUGCGUGAGGCACUGGGUUUGAUCCUCAGCACCA
rnacentral:tRNA from 1 species